CUCUCCAGGACUUGAUAACAGGCUGGGAACGGACCCUUGGCCGAGGGCACCGGCCUUGAUGGCUGGAGGAAGGUGGAAGGUAGAGAGCCGGCUGCAGGGACGAUCUCAGAGGAAAAUGGGAAUCCAGAGCGUCUCUCCUUAUGACUUCAUUGCAAGAAUUUGAGAAUAACUUCAGGGUUCAACAAUGAGGAAACUGCCCAAAGUUGUUCAGCAAGUAACUGUCACAGCCAGUACUAGAUCCAGUCUGACUCCAGAGUCCAGGUUCUCAACACUGAAUCCCAAAGAAAUGGUGCCAGACUCCGGCUGUCAUUCAGAGGAGCCACAAGCCCUUCGUACAUCGCCCCCCUGAAGCGCGACGCCAGCGGACGAGAGGGAACACAGGUGGAGCCCGACAGGGUCCAGGGAGAGGGGAGGCGGCGUCCCAGACAGCGGCAGAGCUGGAGAGCGCUGUGGAGGCUGGCAAGGCGGCGCUCACCUAGUCAUCUCGCGUUCCGCCGGGGGAGAAAGCAAGCGGGCAAGUGGACCCCUGACCCUCCCUUUCAGAGUUGGCCCUACCUCUACCUUCCCCUGCAACUUUCAGCCCUGGCUCGGAAAAUCCCGCGAGAUCGGGCCCCUGAACUGUCAUUGCGGUCUCGCGAUAACAAAAUCUUGGUUCACAUGGGCGGAGCAGUCUUCCUGCCUUCUUGGCCCCGGGAAGCGGGUUAACACAAAGGUCCGCGACCGUUGCAAGUAUCGCGAAGUUUGAUAUCGCCUGCCUGCCGGUUGCGCGUCUUACGGACAACAGAGGGAUCUGAAGAUACCCGUGGGCUCGCACCUGCGGCAGUCCUUAAGGGCUGACUUACAGCUGGAGACCGUGUCCGCGAUCGCGGCCUGCUGCUGGCUUAUAUCUAGUACUUCCUCGUGUUCCUCGUGUAGCGCAUGCCCAGGAACUUGAGGCGAGUGACUCCCUCCUGGAGCGCUCAGCGGGGUGGGACACCCGCCCGGAAGCCAACGCGUCACGACACUCGCGGGAGACUGAGUAAACUUAGUGGUCACACACUAAAAUAUAGUCAAAAAUAACUCUUGUGAGUACAAACCAGCAAUACAUGCCGUAAAUAGAAGAUAAAGGUAAAAAUACUAUGAAAAUUUAAAGUGUCCGUGUACCAUCCACAGUUAGAAUGGUUUGUGAGGCAUUAUGGGAAAACACCAAGCAGGCAGUCGGGCUGUUUUUGUUAAAGCAUCAUCAGAACAACACACUACUCACAAGUUAAUGGAUACUACUUUUCUAAUACUUUGCCAGACCUUACACGUUGAUUCAUCGAAAAAAAAAUGGUUUCUGCACAUGUUAAAAUGUUUUCAUAUACUGUAGGAUAUUUCAUUGAACUAGAUUUGCUUGAAUGGGCCUGCAUUGGUUUCCUAUUGCUGCUGUAACAAAUUACCACAAAUUUUAGAGGCUUAGAACAGCACAAGAGUAUUAGGAAUACCACAAAUUUAUUAUUGUACGGUUCUGUAAGUCAGAAUUCUUCCUUGGGUCUCAUUAGGCUAAAAUCAAGGAAUCAGCUGGGCUACAUUCUUUUCUGGAGGCUCUCCAGAAUCCGUUUGCUUGCCUUUCUACACAUUCCUCGGCUCAUGGCCACCUUCCUUCUGUCUUCAAAGUCAGAGUUGUUGCCUCUCUCUGAGCCUUCCAUAGUCACAUCUUCCUCAGAUUGCAGCUGGGUAAGAUUCUUUGAUCUUAUGAUCAGAUUGGGUCUACCUGAAUAAUGCAGGAUAAUCUUCCCAUUUGAAGGUCUGUACCCUCAAUUAUAUCAGCAAAGUCCCUUUGCCAGCUAAAGUAAUAUAUUCAUGAAUUCCAAGGAUUAGGAUGUAAACAUCUUUAGGGGCUCAUUAUUCUACCUACCCAAGGGUCUAAAUGAGGAAAGCUAUGUUUGUUUGCUGCCAAGAGGUAUCUAUACUUUGAGAGAUACUAACAAUUAGCAAUAUGUUUUCAUAAAAUCCUUCAUCUAGAGUAGCCCUUAUUUCUGUUUACCAACAGGUAGAAACUUUGUAUCUAAGAAAAACAUCUAAUUUACUCACUAUGUGUGAGAUGUUGGCCCUCACACAUGGUUGAGAAGUUAUGUCAUUUAACCUCAUUGCUUAAGUGUCCUCACCCAUGACAACAACCCAUGGCAAGUUACAGUAACCUACAUGAAAAAGUGUUGUUGUAAGUAUUAAAUAGGUUAAGUAAAACAUCUAAAACAGUACCUGCCAUAGGAAGGAAUAUGUGGAUUGCUAUUACUGUUGUUAUCGAUGGAAUGCAUCCACUUGAAAGUUGCAUUCUACAUAACCAUUGCUUCAUUUUAAUAUUUUGGCUAGUAGUUGGUAGUACAUUAUUACUUAGAUUAGAAUUUUAGACUACAUUCUAACUUAAAGCACCAUGGAUUGUAAGGCAUAUUAUUUAGGUACAGCUGAAAAAAAGAAAAAAGCUGCUCAUUAUGUAAAUUGUAACUCUUGAUUUUUAACAUGCAUCCUGAUACUGGAAAUUUUUAAAUGUGGGGGAAAAAAUCUGCUUCUUGGAAUUGAUGAAAUAUAUCUUUUUUACUUAAAUUCUUUUCACAUUGUCUCCAAAAUUAAUGGCAAUUGGAAAUUUCAACCAAGCUUACUUUUUUCUUUUUACAACUACCAGAAAAGUUUGAUUGUUCCCCCCCACACACACUAAAAUAACUAGUUGUGUAAUAUUGUCUUAUUUUUCCAGAGGUCUAAUAAUUUAAGACCUUGAUUUUUUUUUUUUAAGUUUUUUUUUUUUUUUUUUUUGAGAGAGAGAGAGAGAGCAUGAGGUGAGGGGGCAGAGGGAGAGGAAGAAGCAGGCUCCCCACUUAGCAGGGAGCCUGGCACCCUGAGCCAAAGGCAGACACUUAACUGACUGAGCCACCUAGGCACCCCAAGACCUUGAUCCUUAAGGUCUGACAUCUAAAUAGAAGUGAUCAAACAAAAUCAGAAGUAAAUUUUUAUUUAAAUGAAAGAGGUCAUCUGGUUGAAGGAAUACUGGUGACUAACAGAGGAGGAGGGGGCCUUAAUUUCUGAGUAUUAAUUAUUUAACCUCACCACCAUGUUUAUGAUGCAUAGUGAAGCAGAAAAAAUCAUGACAUAAAAAUAUGUGUUAGUGAAUUAGAUGCCUCACAAAAUUAGAUAUCCUUAAACAUUCCUUCCCCCACUAACAGUAGUUUUUGUCUAAGGCCAUUGCAAGGACAUCCUUGUCUAGGUGCCGAUGUUGUACACAUCUAAUACUGUAAUGCUAACCACUGCAAAGUGAAUUUGAAAGUCUUGCAAAAUAUUUGGGAAUUCCUAAAGUCAAUAUAAAUGAUCUUGGAUAACUAGAACAUGUGCAAAACCAUUGGCAAAGGAGGAGCUAGCAAAAUUAAACUUAUUAAAACCACAAAAAGAGAAGAAACACAGAGGAUGAUAGCAUAGACAUUUCUAAAGAAUAUUACUUGAAUAUCAAAGAGACCCUUGAGAAAAAUGAUUCUAAUAUUUUAUCAAAGAAAUUUUUUUGUGUUUGCAAUACAAAAAUUAAAUAUAUACCUAUAUGUGGUUCAUAGACCUCCAAAGUUGUGUGUUAAUUCAGCAGAAAAGCUCAAGAAAAAAAAAAAAUAGGUGUGUAUUUCAGUUCAUUUGGCCUGCUAUAGUAAUACCACAGAUUGGGUAGCUUAUAAACAACAGAAAUCUAUUUCUCACAGUUCUAGAGGCUGGGGAAUCCAAGAUCAAGGCAUCAGCAUGGUUGUGUUCUGGUGAGACCCCUCUUCCUGAUUCAUAACUGGCACCUUGGUAUGUCGUCAUACAGUGGAAGGGGCGAGGGAACUCUGUGGUAUGUCUUUAAGAGUACUAAUUUUAUUCAUGAGGGCUCCACAUGUGUGUAUGUCAUCACUUUGGGCACUAGGAUUUCAGCAUAUUAAUUUUGAGGGGACAUGAACAUUCGGAUCAUAGCAAUAUGAGAACUUUGAACUUUGAAAAUUUCUUAGUUAGAUGAUUUUAGGUUGUAGCAUUCCUCCCUUGAUAAAAUGUCCCAGCCUCUGUGUCAAGGGAAAGAAAGGAAGAAUAGAUGAGUAAGAGCAAGGUAAACAUGGUAGAAAUAGAUGUGUCCUUUAUCAAUAAGUAAUCUAUAGAUUGGCUCAGUUGGUUAAGCGACUGCCUUCGGCUCAGGUCAUGAUCCUGGAGUCCCGGGAUCGAGUCCCGCAUCAGGCUCCCUGCUCGGCAGGGAGUCUGCUUCUCCCUCUGACCCUCCUCCCUCUCAUGCUCUCUGUCUCUCAUUCUCUCUGUCUCAAAUAAAUAAAUAAAAUCUUUAAAAAAAAAAAGUAAUCUAUAGAGUUUAAAAGGCAACAUUAUUCAACAAUAUGAAUAUACUUAACAUUUCUGAACUGUACACUUAAAAAUGAUUAAGAAGGUUAGUUUUCUGUGUGUGUGUGUUUUUACUACAAUAAAAAAAAAAAAAAAAAAAAAACCUGGGUCAACAAAAGGACAAUUUAAAACUUGAGCCAAGUGUAGUGAAAGAUACAUAGUGAAUGGCAGGUUAGUGCUAGGAAUGUGAUGACUAUUACAUCUUGAACCUUCACCAAUGCCAUUUUUACUUAAUAGACUCAUUGAAGAAAUCUCAGAGGUCCUCGAUCCAAUGCUCUAACUUAAAGAUAAUAAGAUAGUUUGAGAAAUGUUAGCUUAUUUUACCAAGGUCACAAAUAGCAAAUAACAAAAUCAGGAUUAGAAUACGAUUCUUCAUUCUUGUUCCAAUAUGAUAGGUGUAUAAAAAUACUAUUUCAUAGAAGAUAUUUUUAAAUUUGAAAAAUUAAAACCUAUGAUUCUAUUUCUUGUACUAUUCCAUAUCUCAUGUCAUGUAAUAAGCCUAAAAAUUCUGCAACAAAACACCAAGACCUGCAGGUUGAAAUACUAUUAUAAAAACACCCAAAAUGCAUUGCUGAGAAAAAAAAAAAAAAGGUAAAAUACUCAUAGGCCAAAAAUAAGGAGGAAACUGAAAACCAGCUUACUAAGUUGGCACUUAUGCCACUGCUGUACCGGAGGCAUUUGCCCAUCUCAGUUACAGAAAGGUCUGAGUUUAUCUGUCUUAUGGGGACAGAAGACAUGGUGUGAAGCUCUUACAAGGUCACGAUUUGGAACUGAGACCCUCAUUUGAAAUCAGAAACCCUGAAAGGCAACACCCUCAGUGAAAUUACUGGGUAGAAGAAAAUCUGGAAAGCAGAAAAGGGGGAGGAUGAAGAAGAGAGACUUGUCUGUCAUGGCAUGGGCUCUUUGGGCCGGGUUGUGUGUGUGUGUGUUUGUGUGUGUGUGUGUGUGUGUAUGUAUGUAUGUGUGUCUAUUUCCUUUGACAUUUUGAAACCACUGCCAUAUCCCCAAAUGGAUUUAGGAUUUGAAUUCACAUAACCCGUAUGACCUAGGAAACCCCAAGCCAAGAUAACAUAAUGUAGUGUCAGGUUAAUUGCAUCCAGGUUGGAAGAAGGAAGCAAGCUCAUCUUCUCUAAAGGAAAACAUGUUAAAACAAAGAUUCCUCAAAGUUUCCAGAGAUAAAUCCCAAACAGUUCAUAAUUCCCAAACUGUAAAAAAAAAAAAAAAAAAAAAAAUGCAUAAAACAAGCCACCAUGAACAAAAGCCAGCAGGGAAAACAUGCAAGAGAAAUAGACUCUUAGUGAUUUCAGUUAACAGAAGUAUUAGAUACAAGUGUUGGUGUGUAGUUAAAAUAUUUACUGAUAUAUUUUGAAACUGAAAACAUGGAAAGAAAAAAGGCACUGUCAGAAAACAGCAAAUAGAUUUGUUAAAAGAACCAGAACUUCUGGAAAUGAAAACUUUAAUUACUGAAAUUAAAAACUCUAUGGUAAGUUAAACAGCAGAUUAAACACGCCCUAAUAGAGAACUCAUGAACUGAAAGAUCUAAAGAAAUGACUCCAACUGCAGAGCAGAAAGUCAAGUGGAGGGAAGCCUGGGUGGCUCAGUUGGUUAAGUGUCCGCCUUCAGCUCAGGUCAUGAUCCCAGGGUCCUGGGAUCAAGUCCCACAUCAGGCUCCUUGCUCAGCAGGAAGCCUGCUUCUCCCUCUACCUGCCGCUUCCCCCCUGCUUGUUCUCUCUUCCUCUCUUUCUCGAUCUAUGACAAAUAAAGAAAUAAAAUCUUUUAUUAAAAAAACAGUCAAGUGGAUGGAAAUAUAAAAGAAAGGUUAAGAGAAAUGGAAGGUAGAAUUGAAUUUCCGGAAGUAAUGAAUAGGGAGGCUGAGGGGGAAAAAAAUGUUGAAAGAAAUGAAAAAUGAAAUCUCAGAUUCAGGAAUCAUAGUGAAUUGAUUGUAAUACAAAAAAAUAAUUAAAAUAAAAUUAAAGGGCGCCUGGGUGGCUCAGUCGUUAAGUGUCUGCCUUCAGCUCAGGUCAUGAUCCCAGGGUCCUGGGAUCGAGUCCCACAUCGGGCUCCCUGCUCAGCGGCAAGCCUGCUUCUCCCUCUCCCACUCCCCCUGCUUGUGUUCCUGCUCUCGCUGUCUCUCUCUCUGUCAAAUAAAUAAAUAAAAUCUUUAAAAAUAAAUAAAUAAAAAUUAAUUAAUUAAUUAAUUAAUUAAAUUAAAUUAAAAUAAUUAAAAAUAAUAAAAUAGUAAUAUAUAAUAUAUAUAUCAGUAUUUAGACACGUUGAAGUAAAAUUACAGAAGCAACAAAGAAUCUUGAAAGCAGCCAUUAGAAAAGACAGAUUACCUAUGUGGAAUAGAAUGACAAUUUAACUGAUAAAAGUUAACUGACAACAGUUAAUAGUAACAAGAAAGUCAGAAGACAAUGGAAUAGUAACUUCCAAGUGCAAAGAAAAUAACUAUCAACCUAAAAUUUUAUAAUCAGCUAAACUAUAAUAAGAGCAAAAUAAGAAUAUUUUCAGACAAAACUAAAAACAUAACACCAGUGGACUCUCAUGACAAGACCUUUUUAAGGAUUUUGAACUAAAAAAAAAAGUGAAAUGAUCUGAAAUGUAAGAAUGAUUAACAAAAUGAAUAACCAUUGACUGUAUAAAACUAUAACAAUGAUGAUAUAAUUUGGAUAUGUAAAAAAUAAAGGAAAAUUAAAACACUGGACAGAAAUAACUUAAAAAUGUGAUAAUAGUGGAAGACUUUAAGGUAUUUGAGAUAUUUCUGUUGGAAAAGAGAAGAGUAGAGAUAACUUUUACUAAGCAAAGUAUUCACAUUAAGUGUCAGAGUAUAUGUAAAUGGAAUAUUAAAGGAAUGUGUAAGUUCUUAAUAAAAAUGCUAAGAAUAUAAACAUCAGACAAAACAAGAUUUAAUGUAAAAUGCAGUGAAUGUAAAGAAAUUAACCACGUAAAUGAUAAAAGUCUUAGGUUGCCAGGGAGGUAAAAAGUUUUCAAUUUAUCAACGCUAUUAACAGUUCCAAAUAUAUGAAAGUUGUCAGAAUUUCAAGGGGUAAAUGAUAAGUCCACAAACAUGGUAGGAAUUUUUAAUAUUCUUCACAGUAAUUGUAAGACUAAGAAAAGUAGAAUUGAGCCACACAAUUAGCAAUCUUGAUCUAGUAGACGUGUAUAGAAUACUCCAUUCUAUUGUUAGAGAAUAAACAUCUUCACAAGCAAAUAGGAAACAUUCAUAAAAAUUGACCAUGAGGGGCGCCUGGGUGGCUCAGAUGGUGAAGCGUCUGCCUUCGGCUCAGGUCAUGAUCCCGGAGUCCUGGGAUCGAGUCCCGCAUCGGGCUCCCUGCUCCUUGGGAGCCUGCUUCUCCCUCUGCCUCUCUCUCUGUGUCUCUCAUGAAUAAAUAAAUAAAAUCUUUAAAAAAAAAAAAUUGACCAUGAAUUGUGUCAUAAAGCAAUUCUCAACAGCUUUCCAGCAAUCUGAUUCAUACAGAUCAUGUUCCCUGAUCCCAUGAAUUAAGUUAGAAGUCAACAUUUUAAAAUUAUGUUUAAAAGAUUAUAUAUUUGGAAAUUUAGAAACACUUCUAAAUAACUUAGGGGUCAGAGUUUUAAAAAAUCAUGAUGGAAAUUAGAAAAUAAUUGUGAAGCAGAGUUAAAAAUAUGUUUUUAGGCUCUUUCAGCUUGAAGUCCUAAAAUGGCAAACCUCAUGUUUUAAUGUAAGAUAGUCUUCUGUAUAAUAUUUCCAAAGGAAGUCACCAACAUAGAUUUUAUGAUCCUAACUCCUCAUCUACAUUGAGGAUAUAACAGGGCUGGCUGAGAGGGAUUAGAGGAUGGGAAUGGGAGAUUAGAAGAAGAGAUUUAUAAGGCUAUUAUAGUGCUAAAUCCCACACUUCAAGACAAGCAAGAGGCUUUAGAGGGAUCACUUGGAAAGUUUAAUAUGCAUCCCCUGGAAUUUGUGGGACAUGGUGGACCAUUUGCCUCAAACCUUAGAAAUCUGAAGGACAAGUACUACGGCUGGCUAACUGCUCUGAAGUUGAGUAAGAAAAGUUGAUGCAUUGGGGGCCACCGCACAAAAGAUGACAAAAGGAUGCACAUUUCCCCUGGAGCAGAUGUGGGUCUUAGGUGAGAGGAAGCCAGCAGUGACUUCAAGAUGACCCUAAUCAGGGAUCUGGAUAGCUGGAUGCCUAGGGGUAAAGUACUGACUGAAGACCACAGGAAAGCACCCUGUGAAAGAUGUUUAAGGACAGUCUAUGCAACUACAUUAUAGUUAAGUAAGACCUUUCCUGUUCCUUACUUUAUCUCCUUUUCCCAAGAUUAAUCCUGGAAAAGUCAGAAGCAGCCUAGUAAGUAGGGGAGGAAGGCAGAGACAUAAUUCUAAUAAAAGAAGCAGUCAUACUUACUUUUCUCACUUCACCACCUGUAGCAGAUAGGAGCUCUGGUAGAGGAAGAACUUUAAGUUUGAAUGAGGGUAGAAAUCUUAAUUUUAAUAUCACAGUUGACUUAACUGCUAAACAGAGACUUUCUGCUUAUUUGUCUAGUCGCUAAAAGUGACCACAAGAUUUUUUAUUGAGAAAGACCAAGAAGACUUAUGUGAUCUUGCCUAAUUUCCUUUUAAGGUUAUAGAGAAAAACUAGCCCUUAAAGUGGGUUUGAAUGAAGAGUACAGCAAAUAAAUGAAUUUCUAUUCUAAUUUCAUCUAAUGGGUUCUGUUGUUUCAACAUCCAUUAGGACUGAAUAAUAAUAGAAAUACUGCACAUCAAAGUUAGUAAGAAAUUAGUACUUAGGGAGUAAGAAAAUGCUUAUACUGAGAAAGAAGAAAAGCUGAAUGAUCUAUACUUCCAGAACAACUAGUCCUAAAGAAAAUAGAAGAAAAAUAAUGAACAGAAAUUAAUGAAAGAGUAACACAAAAUACAAUAGCAGUAAUAAAGUGAAAAGUUAACUCUGAAAAGAAAAAUAAAGUAGGCAAACCACUGGUAAAAUGCAUCAAAAAAAAGAGGAAAAAAUACAAAUAAACAUUAGGAAUGAAAAAUAGGGCAAAACUAAAGCCAAUUCAAAGAGUAGAAAAAUAUGGGAGUAUACUCUAAGCAAUUUCAUGCCAAAAUUUUAAAGGUAUAUUUCCUUAAAAAUAUGUCAAAAAGGAAAAGAGGCCCUGAAUGAAAUUAUAACUGUUAAGAAAUAACUUAAGUCAGUAGUUGAAAAUGCCCGUCCAAGGAAAGACCAGAUCCACAUGGCUAGAUAGGCAAAUUCUACCAAAUAUUCAAGGGAAUAGAUAUAUUCAGUAUUAUAUAAACUCUUCCAGAGAAUAGAAGAAAAACUCUCCAACCUAUUUUAUCGACUUAGUGAAAUCUAGACAGCAAAAUCUAAUAAGGACAGUAUGACAAUUGAAAAUUACAAGCCAACUGUAGUUAUCAUGACUGAUGCAAAAAUUCAAAACGAAAUACUAGUGAAUCAAGUCUAACUUUGAAUAACAACAACAAUAAUAAUAAUGCAUCAUGACCAAGUUAAGUUUAUCUCAGGAAUGCAAGUAUAGUUUCAAAUUGGAAAAUCUAGUAGUGUAAUUGAUUAAUAGAUUAAAGGAGAAAAAUUCUAAGAUCAUCUCAAGAGAUGGAAAAAUAAUUUUAUAAUAUUCAACCAAAUAUUGGCAAGAUAGCAAUAGAAGUAAACUUCCUUAUUCCAAACCUGUAGGAAACACUAAAUGGCAAAAUGGUACACACAUUCCUUUUAAAACCAUGAACACAAAGAUAUCUCUUAUCACCACAUCUGUUCAACAUUGAUCCUAGUCAUUUCAAUAAUAAAAGAAAACUAGAUAUAAAUUAUAGAUAUUAGGAAGAAUCAAAACUGCUAUUAUUUAGGAGAAGAUUCUGAGUUGAUGGUGGAGUAGGAAGCACCCGGAAUCUGUCCCCCCAGCUAGGCAAUAACUGAACUGGCAGAAUCUGUCUAAUGUAACUAUUUUGGAACUCUAGUUUGUUGAGCGCUUGCAUCUUCCAAGGGGAAGACUUGGGACAGUGAAUUGUGGUUAAUUUUGGUCAAUUUCAGAUCGUAGCACAGUAGCAGCAACCCAUUCACCACCCCCAGCCACUAAUUGGUAGUUGUGCAUGUGUUUCUCAAGCAGCUUGCACAAAGCUGUGGGAACUAGAGUGGACAAAAAGAAUCUGUGUUCUGAUUGCCGAUUACUGCUUCCAACCAAUCACAGAAGCACAAAGAAGAAGCAGCCAUUGUUGCACCUACCCCCAUUGUGCAAGCCCCUCCCUCUCUGGCUGAAGUGAUAGCCAGGGUAUUUAAAGGGCCAGCCACCCUUUUCCCCCUGCUUCAUUUUUUUUUUUGCCUUUUUUUCUUUUGGGAGCCAGACAGUAAAGAGUAGGACAUUUGAAAAAAACUGCAUACAUGAGGAAAAUUAGAAAGUGACCACACAUGCCCAGGGAAAGGCUCAGAAGAGACCCAAGAAAACAUUGCAUUUACACAAGUUGAUCCUAGACACAGAGACAGCCUACAACAACAAAAAAAACAAUAACAAAAACAGCAAAUCCUGGUGAAGGUAAGAAUCAGAUAUCCUUAGAGUUACUACAUUAUUAAAUUCAAAUGUCCAAUGUCCAACCAAAAAGAUCACAAGACAUACAAAGAAACAGGAAAGUAUCACCAUUCAAAAGAAAAAAUAAAUCUGCAGUAACUGUACCUGAAAAAGAAUUAAUGGCAGAUACACUAGAUAAAGACUUUUUAAAAACUGUCUUUAAAAUUGCUCAAAGAACUAUAGGAAGAUAUGGAGAAAGUCAAAAAAAAUGAUGUCUGAACAAAAUAGAAAUUAAAGAGAUAGAAAACCUAAAAAGAAAAUGCAAAAUGAAACGCUGGAGCUGAAAAGCACAAUAACUAAAAUAAAAAACUCACCAGAAGAAUUCAAAAGCAGAUUUGAGCAGGCAGAAGAAUAAGUGAACUUGUAGAUAGGAGAAUGGAAAUUAUUAAGGCUGAGGAACAGAAAGAAAAAAGAUUGAAGAAAAUUGAGCAGAGCCUAAGGGGCCUGGGGACACAAUAAAAUGGACCAGCAUACACAUGGUGGGAGUCCCAGAAGGAGAAGAGUGAGAGAGAAAAAGGGCAGAGAGAAUAUUUAAAGAAAUAAUGGUUGGAAAUGUCCCAAAUUUGAUGAAAAACAUGAAUAUAAACAUUCUAAGAAGAUGAACUCAAAGAGACCCAUACCAAGACACAUUAUAAUCAAACUUUCAAAAGCCAAAGAUAAAGAGAAUCUUGAAAGCAACAAGAGAGAAGUAAAUCAUCACAUACAAGCGAUCCUCAAGAUUAUUAGCAGAUUUCUCAUCAGAAAGUUUGGAGGCCAGAAGACAAUGAGCCCAUAUAUUCAAAGUGCAAAAAGAAAAAAACAAAACAAAAACCUGUCAAUAAAAACUGCCAAAACUGUCCUUCAAAAAUGAGGGAGAAAUUAUGACAAUCCCAGAUAAACAAAAGCUGGUUCAUAACCACUAGACCUGCCCUACUAUAAAUGCUUAAUGGAAUCUUGCAAGAUAAAAUGAAAGGUCAUAGAACAGUAACUCAAAUGUUUAUGGCAAAAUAAAGAUAUCAAUAAAGGUGUAUACAGGGGAAAUUAUAAAAGCAGGUAUUAUUGUAACAAUGGUUUAUAACUAUGUUUUGUUUGUUUUCUAUGUGAUUGAGGAAACUAAUACAUUUAAAGAAAAAAUCAUUAGUUAUAAAAGCUAGUAUUACUGUAACCUUUGUUUGUACGUCCAAGUUGUGUUUUCUAUGUAAUUUAGAAGACUAAUUCAUUUAAAAGAAUUACUUAUGUGUGUGAGCACACAAUGUUUAAAUGUAUAAUUUUGUGACAUCAAAAAAACAGGAGUGUGGACAAAGCUAUAAAGGAGCAGAGUUGUUUAUAUUAUUGAAAUUAAGCUGGUAUAAAUUCAAAUUAAAGUGUUAUAACUUAAGGAUGUUAAAUGUAGUGACCACCAAAGAAAAUAGCUGUAGAAUAUACACAAAAGGAUACGAGAAAGGAAUUUAAACAUUUCAUUACAAAAAAAUAUAUAUCUUUUUUUUUUUAAGAUUUUAUUUAUUUAUUUGACAGAGAGAGAGAUAGCAAGAGCAGGAACACAAGCAGGGGGAGUGGGAGAGGGAGAAGCAGGCUUCCCACCAUGCAAGGAGCCCAAUGUCGGGCUGGAUCCCAGGACUCUGGGAUCACGAUCUGAGCCAAAGACAGACACUUAAUGACUGAGCCACCCAGGUGUCCCUACCCUCCUUAGUUCUUACAUCCCAUUUGUCCAUGGCACACCCCCCCAAAAAAUCAUUUAAACACACACACAAAAAAAAACAGUAAUGCAGGAAAUGAGGGACAAAAAGAGCUAUAGGCAUGUAGAAAAUAAAUAGCACAAUGGAAGAAUAAGUCCCUCCUUGUUAGUAAUUAUUUUAAAUGUAAGUGAAUUAAACUCCAAUUAAAAGACAGAGAUUGGCAGAAUGGAGAAAAACACAUGAACCAACCAUAUGCUGUCUACAAGAGACUCAUGUGAUAUUCAAAGACACAGAUAGGUUAAAAGUGAAAGGGUAGAAAAAGAUAUUCCAUGCAAACAGUAAACAAAAGGUUGGUGAAGGUGGGGUUAUGCUAAUAUCAGACAAACUAGGCUUAAAAUCAAAUAAGUUACAAGAGACAAAGAAGGACAUUAUAUAUUAAUAAGAGAUUUCAUUAAUACUUGGACUAUCUCCCUUCACUCAUUUACUCAAAAGUGUGGCAGCAUAGAAAAUUAGCUGAGAGAAAUACCAUAGAAAAAUAUUUUGCCCAACUAGAAAAGUACUAAUGAAGAUAUAUUUUUCCAAGGAAUUAAGUAAACUCUAAAAAAUCCAUUACAUAUUCAUAAUAGAAUCUUUUUUCCCAAAAGAUUCCAGUUAAAGUAAUGGGAAUUACAUUUGAAUAACAUCUAGAUAAUGCAAAAACUGUAGAUUUACUUUCAUUAAGCAAGAUAGAAAUUUUAAAUAUCUGGCUUACAUUAAAAAUUGUAGGUUGAAAAUGUUUCCAAUCUUUACCCUAGGGUGAAAAAUGUUUUCAGAUUACAUGAUUUGUAGGGUCCAUUUCAAGGCUAAAAUUCGAUGUGAUUUCUGUAAAAGAUAACUUUUCCCUAAGUUAUUUUAAGACCACAUCACUUCAUUAUUUGUGACUUUACCCGGAUUUUCAUUGCUUAAAUUCUUUAUUUUUUUCUUAAUAUUUUAUUUAUUUAUUUGACAGAGAGAGAGAGAGAGCAAGAGAGGGGACACGAGCAGGGAGAAGCAGGGAGAAGCAGGGAGAAGCAGGGAGAAGCAGGGAGAAGCAGGCUUCCCACUGAGCAGGAAGCCCAGUGUGGGACUUGAUCCCAGGACCUUGGGAUCAUGAUCUGAGCUGAAGGCAGAUGCUUAACGACUGAGCCACCCAGGCGCCCCUGCUUAAAUUCUUUAAACAAGGUAACUGUUUCAAAAGAGAAUCAAUAUACAUAGUUUAAAGUGGUAAAAAUCACAUUUUUAAAAGUAUGCUUAUGUACUUAAUAAAGAUGGUUGCCAAAGUUUUACUUUUCAAAUAUGUUCCUGAAGGGAGUGACACCUUAGGAACCAUGAAACAGUUAAAAGGGAAUUCUGUGGUCAUUACAGGAUGUGCAAACUUGAAUGGGAGUUUAUUCUGAAAGCAAAUAUAAUGUUGUGCUUCCUUCAUAAGUAUCAUUUUAUCACAUUGCCCUAUAUUCAUCAAUAUAUUUGAAUGAGAUGGCAUGAUCUGGGAUUGACAGUGUGUGGUUAGUAAGAAAUUAACUCUAAGAAUUAAUUAAAACAGGGAAAUAUGAAAAGCAUGUAAAAGUUAAAUGAGUUUAUUUUUAAAUUUGAUACUAUUUUUGUUAAUAUAAAGCAACUCUUUCAGGGGAACUGCUCUCUCCAAUUUAUGCAUAGAUUAUUUGACAGACUGGUUGAAAUAUUCCAUACCACUUUUGCACAGUAGAAAUGAAAAACCCAAAGAAUUCAUAUUUUCAAGACUGUUAGCACCUUCUCACAUUUCAAGAAUUUGAUAUUCAAU